rnacentral:lncRNA from 1 species
CGGCCCCCCACACACAUCAGUGCCAGCCAGCCAGCCAUGACCAGAUAAGAAGAAAUGGAAUUCCUUAUCACAAAAAAAAGAAAAAGAAAACCCUGCAAAAGGUCAAGAGAAACAGGAUCCAUGACUGACAGAGUAAGGCCUAGGGUUGGGAAGAUGAAGACAGUGGAUAUCUCCUGCCUGUGGAAAUCUCCUGCCUAACUUAAUUCAGGCUCACUCUUUAUCCCAAAAUUGGAAUAAUCUG